rfam:Pan troglodytes isolate Yerkes chimp pedigree #C0471 (Clint) chromosome 19, whole genome shotgun sequence.
GCCGGGUGUGGUGGCUCAUGCCUGUAAUCCCAGCACUUUGGGAGGCUGAGGCAGGUGGAUCACUUGAGGUCAGGAGUUCGAGACCAGCCUGACCAACAUGGAGAAACCCUGUCUCUA